UCUGUGGUACAUGAUGACUAAAACUUUUUUCCCCAACUGAUCGACAAUGCUGAUCAGGAACAUUUUAAGCCAAAACUUGUCUGAUUUCCAUUAGA
rnacentral:snoRNA from 1 species